AACGAACGCUGGCGGCAGGCCUAACACAUGCAAGUCGAACGCAUCCUUCGGGGUGAGUGGCGCACGGGUGAGUAACACGUGGGAAUGUGACCUUUGGUUCGGAAUAACGUCUGGAAACGGACGCUAAUACCGGAUGUCCCCUGUGGGGGAAAGAUUUAUCGCCAAAGGAGCAGCCCGCGUCGGAUUAGGUAGUUGGUGGGGUAACGGCCUACCAAGCCGACGAUCAGUAGCUGGUCUGAGAGGAUGAUCAGCCACACUGGGACUGAGACACGGCCCAGACUCCUACGGGAGGCAGCAGUGGGGAAUAUUGGACAAUGGGCGCAAGCCUGAUCCAGCCAUGCCGCGUGAGUGAUGAAGGCCUUCGGGUUGUAAAGCUCUUUCGCACGUGACGAUGAUGACGGUAACGUGAGAAGAAGCCCCGGCUAACUUCGUGCCAGCAGCCGCCGUAA
rnacentral:rRNA from 1 species